GACGAACGCUGGCGGCGUGCCUAAUACAUGCAAGUCGAACGAGAGCGACCGGUGCUUGCACCGGUCAAUCUAGUGGCGAACGGGUGAGUAACACGUGGGUAACCUGCCCAUCAGAGGGGGAUAACAUUCGGAAACGGAUGCUAAAACCGCAUAGGUCUUCGAACCGCAUGGUUUGAAGAGGAAAAGAGGCGCAAGCUUCUGCUGAUGGAUGGACCCGCGGUGCAUUAGCUAGUUGGUGAGGUAACGGCUCACCAAGGCCGUGAUGCAUAGCCGACCUGAGAGGGUGAUCGGCCACAUUGGGACUGAGACACGGCCCAAACUCCUACGGGAGGCAGCAGUAGGGAAUCUUCCGCAAUGGACGCAAGUCUGACGGAGCAACGCCGCGUGAGUGAAGAAGGUUUUCGGAUCGUAAAACUCUGUUGUUAGAGAAGAACAAGUGCUAGAGUAACUGUUAGCGCCUUGACGGUAUCUAACCAGAAAGCCACGG
rnacentral:rRNA from 1 species